rnacentral:rRNA from 1 species
GAUGAACGCUGGCGGCGUGCCUAAUACAUGCAAGUCGAGCGAACGGACGAGAAGCUUGCUUCUCUGAUGUUAGCGGCGGACGGGUGAGUAACACGUGGAUAACCUACCUAUAAGACUGGGAUAACUUCGGGAAACCGGAGCUAAUACCGGAUAAUAUUUUGAACCGCAUGGUUCAAAAGUAAAAGACGGUCUUGCUGUCACUUAUAGAUGGAUCCGCGCUGCAUUAGCUAGUUGGUAAGGUAACGGCUUACCAAGGCAACGAUGCAUAGCCGACCUGAGAGGGUGAUCGGCCACACUGGAACUGGAACACGGUCCAGACUCCUACGGGAGGCAGCAGUAGGGAAUCUUCCGCAAUGGGCGAAAGCAUGGCGGAGCAACGCCGCGUGAGUGAUGAAGGUCUUCGGAUCGUAAAACUCUGUUAUUAGGGAAGAACAUAUGUGUAAGUAACUGUGCACAUCUUGACGGUACCUAAUCAGAAAGCCACGGCUAACUACGUG